UCCAGCCCCGCGAAGGAAGGCCCGUGCGCCGCCAGUGCGGUCAGGGGGCCCUAAGGGGGUCGCGGAGGUGGUGGAGCCGUGGUGUUGUUGUUCGACCCCGAGACCGCCGGGGCCUCGACCCGCGAGGUUGGAAAAAUUACAGGGUGCGCAGAAGGCCUCGGCUCUACGAACAACCAGCUGGGCGUUUAAAGCCUUAAGUAAAAACGAAAUCAGACGUGGGAGCAUUUUUCUUUUAAACAGUAAAGGUCAUCAUUUGGAGUCAAGAAGCGCUAGUAUGAUUGCUGCACAAGGAACAAACGUGACGUAUUUGGGGAUCCAAAUAACCAAAAAGUUUGUAGAAUAAAACCUGAAGUUACUUCAGCAUUGAGUAUAAUAAAGCUUAUUACUAAAAUCAA